UAGGGAAUCUUCGGCAAUGGACGGAAGUCUGACCGAGCAACGCCGCGUGAGUGAAGAAGGUUUUCGGAUCGUAAAGCUCUUUUGUUAGAGAAGAACGUUGGUAGGAGUGGAAAAUCUACCAAGUGACGGUAACUAACCAGAAAGGGACGGCUAACUACGUGCCAGCAGCCGCGGUAAUACGUAGGUCCCGAGCGUUGUCCGGAUUUAUUGGGCGUAAAGCGAGCGCAGGCGGUUCUUUAAGUCUGAAGUUAAAGGCAGUGGCUUAACCAUUGUACGCUUUGGAAACUGGAGGACUUGAGUGCAGAAGGGGGGAGUGGAAUUCCAUGUGUAGCGGUGAAAUGCGUAGAUAUAUGGAGGAACACCGGUGGCGAAAGCGGCUCUCUGGUCUGUAACUGACGCUGAGGCUCGAAAGCGUGGGGAGCAAACAGG
rnacentral:rRNA from 1 species